rnacentral:rRNA from 1 species
CCUACGGGUGGCAGCAGUUGGGAAUAUUGCGCAAUGGGCGAAAGCCUGACGCAGCGACGCCGCGUGAGGGAUGAAGGUCUUCGGAUCGUAAACCUCUGUCAGCAGGGAAGAACGGUCACUGUGCUAAUCAGCAGUGAAUUGACGGUACCUGCAAAGGAAGUACCGGCUAACUCCGUGCCAGCAGCCGCGGUAAUACGGAGGGUGCGUGCGUUAAUCGGAAUUACUGGGCGUAAAGCGCUCGUAGGCGGUAUGUCAAGUCAAGGGUGAAAUCCCCGCGCUCAACGUGGGAACUGCCUUUGAAACUGGCCGACUGGAGUGUGUUAGAGGGUAGUGGAAUUCCAGGUGUAGGAGUGAAAUCCGUAGAUAUCUGGAGGAACAUCAGUGGCGAAGGCGACUAUCUGGCACAUAACUGACGCUGAGGAGCGAAAGCGUGGGUAGCAAACAGGAUUAGAUACCCGUGUAGUC